UUUACAAUCAAUACAAUUUACCCAACAUUAAGGUUUUUAAACCUGAUCUUAAAUUAAUAGAUUAAGCCCUUUAUCUUAAUUGGGACAAAUCGAACGUAACUCCUGUUGUGUAUUGGAGAACAGAUAUGAGAAAACCUUUAGCCUAACUUUCUGAAUCCAGUCCAAUUUCUGACGAGGACGGCGUGUGGGGGUAACAUCUUGAAAAAGGUCUAAAAGCAGGUCAUGUGCGGUGAAGAAUGUCAUGGAAUUAGAGUGGCACUUGCACUAUGGUGACUUUCGCGGAAUCAAGUGCAAGAGCAACUCCUGAGGGUGUGGUUCAGUUGUGGAGAGGCCCAGAUGGUGAAAAAUAUUCACAGUGUAAAUGGAUUGAUGUGGCUGUCCCUCCUCUUCAUCCAGCAGUCCUGCUGUGUUGACUACUGUCUCCUGUAAACAUAUUUGUGUGUGUGUGUGUGUUAGCAUUUGUGUUGGGCUUGUAGUCUCAUCUUGUGUGUUUGACUGCUAGAGAGAGUACAAUUAAGAUCUGUAGAGAACCCAAUUAAGAUACAGUAUGUACUUCAUUCUUGAUAUAUGUACAGUACUUGUUCCCUAUUCCUGAUUACCAUUGCAGAAACAGAAAUAAACAAAUCAAUAAACAUGAUUAAAAUGUAUUUACUGCUUGAGAUAGUUAUUGUUGAAUUACAAUAAUCUAAACAUGA